rnacentral:rRNA from 1 species
GCAAGUCGAACGGAAACGAUGAAGAGCUUGCUCUUCAGGCGUCGAGUGGCGGACGGGUGAGUAAUACAUAGGAAUCUGCCCAGUAGCGGGGGACAACUUGGGGAAACUCAAGCUAAUACCGCAUACGCCCUACGGGGGAAAGCAGGGGAUCUUCGGACCUUGCACUAUUGGAUGAGCCUAUGUCGGAUUAGCUUGUUGGUGGGGUAAUAGCCUACCAAGGCAACGAUCUGUAGCUGGUCUGAGAGGACGAUC